rnacentral:rRNA from 1 species
GCAUAUCAAUAAGCGGAGGAAAAGAAACCAACAGGGAUUGCCCUAGUAACGGCGAGUGAAGCGGCAACAGCUCGAAUUUGAAAUCUGGCCUCGGCCCGAGUUGUAAUCUGUAGAGGACGCUUUUGGCGCGGUGCCUUCCGAGUGCCCUGGAACGGGACGCCAUAGAGGGUGAGAGCCCCGUAUGGUUGGACACCAAGCCUGUGUAAAGCUCCUUCGACGAGUCGGGUAGCUUGGGAAUGCUGCUCUAAGCGGGAGGUAAACUUCUUCUAAAGCUAAAUACCGGCCAGAGACCGAUAGCGCACAAGUAGAGUGAUCGAAAGAUGAAAAGCACUUUGAAAAGAGGGUCAAAUAGUACGUGAAAUUGUUGAAAGGGAAGCGCUCAUGACCAGACUUGCGCCGGGCGGAUCAUCCAGCGGUUUCCGCUGGUGCACUCCGUCCGGCUCAGGCCAGCGUCGGCUGUCGCGGGGGGACAAAAGCUCUGGGAAAGUAGCUCCCUCCGGGGAGUGUUAUAGCCCACUGCAGAAUAUCCCCGCGGCGGCCGAGGUCCGCGCCCUGCAAGGACGC